UCCGAAAAUGAUCAAAAUACAUGGUUAGUCUCACCUUACUCAAGGCCCGGCAUAUCAAUUACUUGUUUAUAUUGCAGCACAAGAAGUUCAAAGAAAUUUGUUCCAUACUUUGUUAAAGCAUAUGAUCAAGAUAGAGUUUCCAUUGAAGACCAGACCCGUUGGUAUGUAUAUAUCUGGAAAAUUACAACAGAAACUGAAUAUGCAGACGGUCCAGCAUAAACACAAAGCAUAUGUAAUUGAUUUUCACCCACAAAUGGGGCUUAGAUCCACUAGUA
rnacentral:lncRNA from 1 species